AGUGAACGCUGGCGGUAGGCCUAACACAUGCAAGUCGAACGGCAGCACAGUAAGAGCUUGCUCUUACGGGUGGCGAGUGGCGGACGGGUGAGGAAUACAUCGGAAUCUACUUUUUCGUGGGGGAUAACGUAGGUAAACUUACGCUAAUACCGCAUACGACCUACGGGUGAAAGCAGGGGAUCUUCGGACCUUGCGCGAUUGAAUGAGCCGCUGUCGGAUUAGCUAGUUGGCGGGGUAAAGGCCCACCAAGGCGCCGAUCCGUAGCUGGUCUGAGAGGACGAUCGGCGACACUGGAACUGGGACACGGUCCAGGCUCCUACGGGAGGCAGCAGUGGGGAAUGUGGGACAAUGGGCGCAAGCCUGGUCCAGCCAUACCGCGUGGGUGAAGAAGGCCUUCGGGUUGUAAAGCCCUUUUGUUGGGAAAGAAAAGCAGCAGGUUAAUACCCCGCUGUUCUGACGGUACCCAAUGAAUAAGCACCGGCUAACUUCGUG
rnacentral:rRNA from 1 species